AGGGAGACGUUCUAAAGGUUGAUUUGCUACAGCAGAAGUACUGGUGAUUGCUGCAUACUUCUUAAGUUUCCUGGCAGCUGUAGAUGGUUCUAAACUCAUUCUGAGUGUUUGAUGCUAGAGCUUCAACAUCGACACCUCGCAGUGUAUUUCAUCGACAAUAUUUCACCGAGAUGUUGACAUCAAAGACUCCUCCUGUUGUCCGCGCGUCAAUGGAGCGCGGUGUUGUUGCAGCAGUAGCAAGUUCAA